CCUACGGGAGGCUGCAGUGGGGAAUAUUGGGCAAUGGAGGAAACUCUGACCCAGCAACGCCGCGUGAAGGAUGAAGGUUUUCGGAUUGUAAACUUCUGUCGCGAGGGACGAAGAAUGACGGUACUUCGUAAGAAAGCCCCGGCAAACUACGUGCCAGCAGCCGCGGGAAUACGGAGGGGGCGAGCGUAGUCCGGAAUGACUGGGCGUAAAGGGAGUGUAGGCGGGUCUGUAAGUUAUAUGUGAAAACCCGCGGCUUAACCGUGGAAGUGCAUAUAAAACUGGGGAGUUGGAGUGCAGGAGAGGUGAGUGGAAUGCGUAGUGUAGCGGUGAAAUGCGUAGAUAUUAGGAAGAACACCGAUGGCGAAGGCGGCAUACUGGACUGUAACUGACGCUGAGGCUCGAAAGCGUGGGGAGCAAACAGGAUUAGAUACCCUUGUAGUC
rnacentral:rRNA from 1 species